UACGAAGGGGGCUAGCGUUGCUCGGAAUGACUGGGCGUAAAGGGCGCGUAGGCGGUUCAUACAGUCAGAUGUGAAAUUCCCGGGCUUAACCUGGGGGCUGCAUUUGAUACGUGUGGGCUUGAGUGAGGAAGAGGGUUGUGGAAUUCCCAGUGUAGAGGUGAAAUUCGUAGAUAUUGGGGAAGAACACCGGUGGCGAAGGCGGCAACU
rnacentral:rRNA from 1 species